UACGUAGGGGGCAAGCGUUGUCCGGAAUUAUUGGGCGUAAAGAGCGCGUAGGCGGUCCGGUAAGUCGGUUGUGAAAGUCGGGGGCUCUACCCUCGGAUGCCGAUCGAUACUGUCGGGCUAGAGUCCGGAAGAGGCGAGUGGAAUUCCUGGUGUAGCGGUGAAAUGCGCAGAUAUCAGGAGGAACACCAAUGGCGAAGGCAGCUCGCUGGGACGGUACUGACGCUGAGGCGCGAAAGCGUGGGGAGCAAACAGG
rnacentral:rRNA from 1 species